UAUCUUGUUACCACUGGGCAACAUGUUGAUUUCUAUGAUCUCUCCUCCUACAAGUCACCACCUUAAGGUAAGUGUUUGUUGUUGCCAAUGUAUAGAAUGGUAAUUUCCAAGAUUUAACUAACUUUUGGUAACUAAGUUGAUACACAUAAUUCAUACUGCCACCUGCAGCCAUGCUGAUGCCAUUGAUUAUUGCUGCCUUUGCAAACCCUUUUGAAAUUAAUGAAUGGAUCUCUCAUGCAUUCCUAUUGGUACUGUAAACCAUAUUGAUGCAUGUGGUCCUUCUUACCAUCAGAUAACAUCUUGAUUGCUUUCAAUUCUCCAUCCCCUCACACCUUAUUUUUGUAAGUGUUCUGUAUUGGCAAUAUGAAGAAUGUAUGUAUCAAGAAUUGAAAUACUAACAGAAACUAAGUUAAUAUCCUGAAUACAUGCUGCUACCUCCAAGCAAGUUGAGGUCAUUAAACCCAGCUGUGUCUCUUAAACAUGUGCAUGUCCAUGAUUGGAAGUACAAUGCUAUUCCUACUCCUUCUGGAAGCAAUGUUUUUGCUCAUGAUCUUCCUACCACUGGACCCCAGGUUGAUUUCCAUGAUCUCUCCUCUUACAAAUGACAAUAUUAAGGUAAGUGUCUGUAAUUCAUGCUGCCACGUGCACCAAUGCUGAUGUCAUUUACCGUUGUUGCCUCUGUUAAUCUUUUUGAUUUCUAUGAAAGGGCCUGACAGGAAUUCCUAUUGUUUGUGUAAGCCAUGUUGACUCAUAUUGUCCUAGUUACUGUGGGAUAACAUCGUGAUUGCCAUGACCUCUCUGCCCCCUUGUGACCAUAUUCAUGGAAGUGUUCUGUGUUGCCUGCAUGAAGAAUGUAAAUUUCCAAGGACAAAAAUACCAACUGAAACUAAUUUGAUAUCUGGACUACUUGUUGUCACCUCCAAACAAAUUAAAUCAUUCAUCCCUGCUGCAUCUCUUAAUCAUACAGAUGUCCAUGAGCUGACAUACCAUAAUAUUACUACUAUUUCUGGAAUCCAUAUUGAUGCCAGGGUUCUUUCUUGCCCAUGGAUCUGAUGUUUAUGUCUAUCUGUCCUCCUACCUGAUAUCAUGUUGAUGUAAGAGUUCUGUCUUUCCAACAUGAAGACUGUUAAUUUCCCUGAUCUCAACUACCAACAUAAACUAUGUGGCUAUCCAUUCAACAUGCUACCACCUGAAACCUUGUGGAUUUUAUUGAUCCAUGCUGCUUUUGAUACCCAUAUACAUGUCCAUGAUUGGAACUAUAAUGCAUUUUCUACUACUUCUGGUAUCAGAUUGAUGCUCAUGGUCUUGUUAACCACUGGAUAUCAUGUGGAUUUCCAUGAUCUCUGUUUCUACAGGUGAUGAUGCUAAUAUAAGUGUUCCUUGUUGCCAAUGUAUAGAAUGGUAAUUUCCAAGAUUUAACCAACUUUAGGUAACUAAGUUAUUCAUGCUGCCACCUGCAGCCAUGCUGAUGUCAUUGAUCACUACUGCUUUUGCAAACCCUGCUGAUAUUAAUGAAUGGAGCUCCCCUGCAAGCCUAUUGGUUUUAUAAGCCAUGUCGAUGCAGGUGGUCCUUUAUGCCAUGGGUUAACAUAAUCUUUGCCAUAAAUUCACCAGCCCCUUAUGGCCAUAUUAAGGCAAGUGUUCCCUUUUGACAUUAUGUAAAAUGGUAAUUUCCAAGAUUUAACAAGCAUCAGUAACUAAGCAGAUAUCCCUAACUCAUGCUGCAAUCUACAAACAUGUGGAUGUCAUUGAUCCCUGUUGCCAAUAUUAACCCUUUUGUUGUCUAUGAAUGUACCUCCAAUGCAUUCCUAUUGGUUCUGUUGAUGCAUGUGGUCCUUAUUACCAUGGGAUAACACCUCCAUUGCUUUCAAUUCUCCAUCUGCUUAUCACCUUAUUUGUGUAAGUAUUCUGUGUUGUACAUAUAAUGAGUGUAAUUUCCAAGAAUUGAUCUACUAGCAGAAACUAAGUUAAUAUCCUGAAUACAUGAUGUUACCUCCAAACAAGUUGAGGUCUUUAAAUCCAGCUGAGUCUCUUAAACAUGUGCAUAUCUAUGGUUGGAAGGGAAAUGCUAUUCCUACUCCUUCCGGAAACAAUGUUGAUGCUUAUGAUCUUACCACUGGGCACCAGGUUGAUUUCCAUGAUCUCUUCUGCUACAAGUCAUCAUGUAAGGUAAGUGUACCUUUUUGGCAAUAUAUAGACUAGUAAUUCCCCAGAUUUAAUGAACCUUUUUUUAACUUAGCUGAUAUUUGUAUUUCAUGCUGCCACCUGCACCCAUGCUGAUGUCAUUGACUCCUGCUGCCUCUGUUAACCUUGAUAAUGUUUAUGAAACUACCUGUCUUACAUUUCUAUUGUUUUGUAAGCCAUGUUGAUGCAUGUGGUCCCCGUUAACAUGGGAUAACAUCUUGAUUGCCAUUACCUCUCUGGCUCGUUAUGACCAUAUUAAUGUAAAUGUUCUGUGUUGCCAUCAUAAAGAAUGUAAAUUUCUAAGAACAAAAAUACCAACUGAAACUAAGUUGAUAUCUGGAUUACUUGCUGUCACUUCCAAACAAUUUGAAUUUAUUCAUCCCUACUGCUUCCUUUAGACAUUAAUGUCUGUGAGUAGACAUAUCAUGCUUUUGCUACUAUUUCUAGAAGCAUGUUGAUGCCAGGGUUCUUUUCUUGGCCAUGGAUCUGAUGUUGAUGUCUAUCAGUCCGGCUACUUUGGACUAGGUUCUGUCUUUCCAUGAUGAAGAAAGUUAAUUUCCCUGCUUCCAUCUACCAAAGUAAACUAUGUGGCUAUCCUUUCAACAUGCUGCUACCUGAAAACUUGUGGAUUUUAUUGAUCCCUGCUACUUCUUUUAUCCAUAUGGAUGUCCAUUUUUAGAACUAUAAUGCUUUUCCUACUUCUGGUAGCAGUGUUGACACUCCUGCUUUUGUAAACAACUUGACACCAUGUUGGUUUCCAUGAUCUUUCCUGAUACAGGUAUUUAUGUUAAUGUAGGUGUUACUUAUUGCCAAUGUAUAGAAUGGCAAUUUCCAAGAUUUAACCAACGUUUGGUAACUAGUUGAUACACAUUAUUCAUGCUCUCACCUGCAGCCAUGCUGAUGUUAUUGACCACUGAUGCCUUUGCAAACCCUGUUGAUAUUAAUGAAUGGAGCUCCCCUGUAUUCCUAUUGGUUUUGUAAUCCACGUUGGUGCAGGUGGACUUUUUUUUAUCAUGGGCUAACAUCUUGAUUGUCAUAAAUUCUCUAGUCCCUUAUGACCAUAUUAAGGCAAGUGUUCCUUUUUGGCAAUGUGUAGAAUGGUAAUUUCCAAGAUAUAUCAAGCAUUGGUUAAUAAACAAAUAUCCAUAUUUCAUGCUGCCACAUCCUACCAUGCUGAUCUCAUUGAUCCCUUUUACUACUGGUAACCCUGUUGAUUUCUAUGCAUGUACCUAUAAUGCAUUUGUUGUUUCUGUAAGCCAUGUUGAAACAUGUCCUUAUUACCAUGGGAUAACACCUUGAUUGCUUUCAAUUCUCCAUCACCUUAUCACCUUAUUUAUGGAAGUGUUCCUUUACCCAUAUGAAGAAUGUAAAUUCCAAGAAUUGAUAUACUAACAGAAACUAAGUGAAUAUCCUGAAUACAUGCUGCUACCUCCAAACAAGUUGAGGUCUUUAAUCUCAGCCUAGUCUCUUAAAUAUGUUCAUGUCCAUGAUUGGAACUAUAAUGCUAUUCCUACUCCUUCUGGAAGCAAUGUUGAUGCUCAUAAUCUUCCUACCACUGUGAUCUUUCCUUCUACAAGUUACCAUGCUAAUGUAAGUGUUCUUUUUUGGCAACAUAUUGAAUGGUAAUUGCUAAAAUUUAAUGAACCUUUGUUACUUAACUGGUGUCUGCAAUUCAUGUUUACAUGUGCACUCAUGCUGAUGUCAUUGACCCCUGCUGCCUCUGUUUACCUUGUUGAUGUCUAUGAAAGGACCUGCUGGGCAUUCCUUUGGUUCUGUAAGCGAUGUUGAUGCAUGUGGUCCUUGUUUUAAUGGGAUAACAUCUUGAUUGCCAUGACGUCUCUGGCCUCUUAUGGCCAUAUUAAGAUAUGACAUUGAUGUCCAUAUCCAUGGAGAUAUUCUGCUACCUGAGACCCUACUGAUGCAAGAGUUCUGUGCUGCCAACGUGAUGAAUGUUAAUUGCCAUGAUCUCAGCUACCAUCUGAAACUGGUGAUAUUUACAUGCUACCACCUGCAACCUUGGGGAUGACAUGGAUACCUGCUGUUCUCUUUAUCAUGUUCAUGAGCUUUCCUAUGCUAUUCCUAUUGGUUUGAAGUCCAUCUUGAUGCCUUAUGUUACGUUUUGCUCCUGGAUAAGGUGUUGAUGUUGAUGUCCAUGUUCUGUCCUGCCACCUGAGACCACAUUGAGGAAAUCAUGUUGAUGUCACUGUUCUUUGCUGCAUCUUCUAACCAUGUUGAUGUUCAUCAUCCAACCUACUGUCCAAACUUUGUUGAUGUUACUGAUCUAUGUUGUAGCUGUCAACCAUGUUGAAGUUACUGAACUUUGCUACCACCUGUAACCACAUUGAUGUCUGCAGUGUUCAGUGUCAUUGGAAACAGUGUUGAAGUCAAUUGUCCAUACUGCUACCUUAGACCCAGUUCAAGCAACCAUGUUGAUGUGAGUGAUUCUCGCUGCCUCUCUUAACCUUGCUGAUGUCCAUGAUUCAACCUGUCAUCUGAAACUUUGUUGAUGUCACUGAUCUUUACUGUUGCUGUCAAUCAUGUUGAUGCUACUGAAACUUGCUUCCACUUGUAACCAUACUGCUGUUUCUAGUCUGUUAUAAUCUGUGACAAUUCUGAAAUCAAUGGUAUAUACUACCACCUGAGACCCACUUCUGGAAACCAACCAUGUUGAUGUCACUGAUCUUUGUUCCCUGUUUUGACCAUGUGGAUGUCCAUUAUCUGACUUAACAUCUGAAAUUAUGUUGAUGUCACUCAUUCAUGGUGCCGCUGAUAACCAUGUUUAUGGCCAUAGUCUUUGUUGGAAUCUUAGACCUUGUGAAUGUCCAUUGUCCAUGUUGCCACCUGAGUCCAUGAUGAUGACCAUGAUGACUUUAGUCUGUGCUGCUAUCAGCCAUAAUGUCGCUGCCUCUGAUUGGUGCUGCUACUGGGGACUAGGUCAAUAUGAAUGAUCUGAGCUGCCAACAGAAAAUAUUUUGACAUCAUUAAGCCAUCCUUGUGCUGGAGACCAUGUUGAAAUCUUUGUCCUUGAUGCAUCCAAAUACUAUGUUUAUGUUCAUGCUCUGGGUUGCAUGCUGAAGACCAGUUGUAUAUCCAUGACCCAGCUGCUGAUGGAGACUGUGUCGAUGUCUGUGGUCAGUACUGCCACAAGAAGACAUCCUGAUAGUGAUCUGUGAUGCCUCCCUCAAACAUGUUAUGUUGGUGAUCUGUGUUGAUGUCCUGGACCAGAUGGAUGACAGUUAUCCAAACUGUCACCAGAAAUCUUGCAGACCAUGAUCUGUGCUGCUCCUGGAAACCCUGUAGAAGUCUAUGAUUCAGUCUGCUGCUGGAAACCAUGUGUAAGGCCUUGAUCUGUACUGCCACUGACUUCGAAGGGCAAGGAACUUCUUUUGCAGUAGUAUCAAUGACUGUAGAAUCAUAACUGAAAUUCAGAUGGACAUUGAAGGCUUCUGUGCCACCAUCCCUCCAAAAAAGAAAAUCUAGACAGGAUCUUAUUGGAGAGUUUUUGAAAGUUGUAAUAAAAAUACUUAACUGUAGCUUUUCACAGUUGAUGGCUUCAGGCAGGGGUUGGUAAAGAACUCCUUUUUAAAGGGCUGGCUACUGCAAGUUUGCCCAUGCUCCAAUGAGUAUAAGGAGAACACCAAUUGGACUUGUUAUAUUGUAUUUUUUCUAUUCUGGGGAAGGAUGCCACAAGGGUGAGAGGGUGUACCUGGGAGGAACGGGAAUCAAGUGUGAUUGAGGUAUGUUGUAUGACAUUCUCAAAUGAUUAAUAAAAUAUUAA